AAGUAAUGAUGUUUUCAUCCUAUUCCAUUUCUGAAACAGGAGUGUGGAAAACAAGCUACUGAACUU